rnacentral:rRNA from 1 species
UAAUACAGAGGGUGCGAGCGUUAAUCGGAAUUACUGGGCGUAAAGGGUGCGUAGGUGGUUAUUUAAGUUAGGUGUGAAAUUCCCGAGCUCAACUUGGGGACUGCGCCUGAUACUGGAUAGCUAGAGUCCUGUAGAGGGAAGUGGAAUUUCCGGUGUAGCGGUGAAAUGCGUAGAUAUCGGAAGGAACAUCGGUGGCGAAGGCGACUUUCUGGACAGAGACUGACACUGAGGCACGAAAGCAUGGGGAGCAAACAGGAUUAGAUACCCUGGUAGUCCAUGCUGUAAACGAUGAAGACUGGCUGUUGGGUACCCACAGGGUAUUUAGUAGCGAAGCAAACGCGUUAAGUCUUCCGCCUGGGGAGUACGGCCGCAAGGUUA